GUCCUUUGGAUUCAAGAUGACUUGCUUUCGCUGUAGUUUGGUUGGUUCUGAAUUGUAUGAGGCACUGAAGUCAAUUAUCACACCCUACCACAACACUAAGUGAGAUCUAAUCACUCUGGAUUUGUUCACACAUGAAGAAUGGCAGCCAAAGAACAACACCCAACAUGACUCAGAUGGAUAAAAAAAGCUUUGAAACUUUGAAUCAAACAUUUAGGGCCUGAAGUUGCACAGUGAAUUUAAUCCAAAAGUCUUCUCAUUAUUUUAGUGAGCACAUUAAUGAAUUGAUUUCCCAAAAUAAAGUGAUGGAAAGCUAUAUU